rnacentral:tRNA from 1 species
GACCCCAUAGUUCAAUGGAUAGAACGAGAAUCUCCUAAGUUCUAGAUCCACGUUCGAUUCGUGGUGGGGUCA